AAACACACCUAUUGUGGUUCUUCAACAAGACCUUCAUAUCAUAAGCCUUACUGAUAGCCAUCUUCUUCAGCUGGUUGGGAUUCUUUGUGAUUUUCCCAUUUACUGUUUCCAGCAAAAUCUGCUUCCAUAUAAUGGUGCACCAGGGAUCAACAUGUAUCUGAGUUUCGUAGAAUAUCUGCAGGAUCCAAGAUGAUAUACCUGCAUAGCCUGGGGGGAAUUAGACAUCUGGAAGAUUUAGUAAUUCAUUUUAAUCUAAACUUAUGUCAUUUAAAGGCUUAUGGAAAGGUUUAGCUCCUGUCUGAAGCACACUUCAUAGUGUUAUGUCAAGCAAUAAUUUUAGUGCAGAAUUGGAACAUAAUUUUUGAAAAUACAAAACUCUUGAUGUAAUCCUUUUGCAAUGUAAGUUUCCAUGGGAAAGAAUAUUGCUGUUCAAGAUCCAUUUUACUAUUAAAUCCAUUAUUAUAUUUUACUGUUACUGUUAUUUUGAUUUUUCCUUCUGGAGCAGGAUAAUGUUACUGUCUAAAGGACAGGCUGUAAUCCAUUGUUUUAAUUACAUUAAAAUAAUCAAAUUACUGUAA